GACGAACGCUGGCGGCGUGCUUAACACAUGCAAGUCGAACGGAAAGGCCCCUUUGGGGGUACUCGCGUGGCGAACGGGUGAGUAACACGUGCGUAACCUGCCCUUGACUUCGGGUUAACUUCAUGAAACUGGGGCUAAUACCGGCUAGGAAUCCUUGCUGCAUGGUGGGGGUUGGAAAGCUUCGGCGGGGUUGGGUGGACUCGCGGCCUAUCAGCUUGUUGGUGGGGUAGUGGCUUACCAAGGCUUUGACGGGUAGGGGGCCUGUGAGGGCGACCGGCCACACAGGGACUGAGAGACGGCGCAGACUCCUACGGGGGGCAGCAGUGGGGAAUAUUGCACAAUGGGCGGGAGCCUGAGGCAGCGACGCGGCGUGCGGGAUGACGGCCUUCGGGUGGUAAACCGCGUUCAGCAGGGGCGAAGCGUGUGGUGACGGUACCUGCAGAAGAAGCACCGGCUAAAUUCGUG
rnacentral:rRNA from 1 species